GUGUACCCUGAAGUGUUGUUUGAGGUUGCUCACCAGUGGUUCUGGCUAUAUGAGCAAACUGCAGGUGGCUCAUCCACAGCCCGUGAAGGGGCUACAACCCCACCUGCCCUGUAGCCCUCAGUAUCUCACUCACCCAGCUCACCCCGCCCACCCCAUGCCUCACAUGCCCCGGCCUGCCGUCUUCCCUGUGCCCAGCUCUGCAUACCCACAGGGUGUGCAUCCUGCAUUCCUGGGGGCUCAGUACCCUUAUUCAGUGACUCCUCCCUCACUUGCUGCCACUGCUGUGUCUUUCCCCGUCCCUUCCAUGGCACCCAUCACAGUACAUCCCUACCACACAGAGCCAGGGCUUCCACUGCCCACCAGUGUGGCCUGUGAGUUGUGGGGCCAGGGAACAGUGAGCAGUGUCCAUCCAGCAUCCACGUUUCCAGCCAUCCAGGGUGCCUCACUGCCUGCCCUGACCACACAGCCCAGCCCUCUGGUGAGCGGAGGUUUUCCACCGCCCGAGGAGGAGACACACAGUCAGCCAGUCAAUCCCCACAGCCUGCACCACCUGCAUGCUGCCUACCGUGUCGGAAUGCUGGCACUGGAGAUGCUGGGUCGCCGGGCACACAACGAUCACCCCAACAACUUCUCCCGCUCCCCCCCCUACACUGAUGAUGUCAAAUGGUUGCUGGGGCUGGCAGCAAAGCUGGGAGUGAACUACGUGCACCAGUUCUGUGUGGGGGCAGCCAAGGGGGUGCUGAGCCCGUUUGUGCUGCAGGAGAUCGUCAUGGAGACGCUGCAGCGGCUGAGUCCCGCUCAUGCCCACAACCACCUGCGUGCCCCGGCCUUCCACCAACUGG
rnacentral:sRNA from 1 species